GUCCGGUCAAAGCCCAGCCCGCCCCCGCCGGUGUCCCAUUGGCUUCAUGUUCCGGGUCUGAUGACAGGGAGUGUUCUGGUUGUUCAGGGUGCAGUCUGUCCCCCCGAGGGCAGCCUCCGAGGGCAAGCCAGCGUUCUGCCUCGGGAGAGAAGACGGGAGACCGUGACCCCGGUCCGGCCUGCAGCCAGAGGCGAUGAUGGCCCGUGAGGCCCCGAGACCCCCAUCCCAGGAGUCAGUGACGUUCAGGGACGUGGCUGUGAGCUUCACCCUGGAGGAGUGGGGCCUGUUGGAGCCUUCUCAGAAAGAGCUGUACCGGGAGGUCAUGCUGGAGAACGCCCAGAACGUGCUCUGCGCGGAAAAGUGAAAAAAAUAAAAAAAGAAGGAAAAAAGGAAGAAGAAAAGAGAGGGAAAAAGGUGCCCAGAAAGUCUCCAGGUCAACCUGUGUGAAGAGAAACAGAAGGGAAAAAGCAGUUCCAAGAGCCAUCUUCCCCCCAUUAUGUUCUCCUUCACAGCCUCCCUCCAUGAGCUCCUUCACUAAUGUGGGAGUGUGGCUGCAAGAUGCUAUGCUAAAUGGAGUUACAGAACGACUCUCCCUUGGGCCCCCCACUGUCAAUCUUGCCCCUCUCCAGGCUAUGAAAAUGGGUUGGAAUCUUCUGUCUUUGUUAAGGCCAAAAGGAUUAAAGACUGAGCCAGUGAGCAGCCUUGGGGAGCCCUGAUGAAAGAUGAGCCGAGCAGCCGUGCGGAACUGACUUCAAAUCCAGUGGUCCAGCCAUGUGGCAGAAUGUGCGGGGAACACAAGAAGAGUUGAGGGUUCAAGGCUGCCUCCUCAGGGGCAAUUUAACAGUCAGAGUUGGCGUGGGAAUGUAAAAUUGAGAUUUGAACCCUGAACUUCAAUCCCCAGAAGUCCUUGCUCCAUUUCCCCAGAAUGCUUUGAAUUCUCAGGAUCAAGAAGGUAUUUAACCUGAUUGCAAGAGCUUUUGGGUCUCUUUUGGACUCCGUUUUGGGGCAGACAUGGCUCUUUCCAUGAUGUAGGUGAGGUCUUGUCUAGGCCUCCCUGGCCUAGACAACGUUUUCCUUAUCCUGUAUUUUCUUUUAAUCCUUAACUUUUAAUAAACCUCUAAAAAUAUAAUACUCCUUGUAGAGAGAAACUAAUUUCUACCUGCCUCAGUCUCCCUAAAUUUUAACUGUUACAAUUUUUGGUGACCACUAGAUUGGAUGAGAACUUCUCAAAUUUUUUGGUCUAGAUAAUGAUUUUUUUUUUAAGCCAUGUUUUCUCCAAGAUGCUUUUUAGAAAACCAUCUUGAUCAGCUCCUGCCUGCAGCCCUCUCUGGCUCCUGCUUCUGCUCCUGGCCUCUCACCUGGUGCCUGAGCUCCCGGCCCUGCUUGUCUGCACUCCAGCUCCCGGCCCUGCCCACCCCGGUGGUCUGUCUCUCACCCAUCUGGCCUCCGACCCAGAUGGCUCAUCACGCCAGUCCCAGACCCACCAGCGUGACCCCAGCCGGCUCAUCACCCAGAUCCUUGGAGCAGAUCGCUCAGGACUCAUUGCGACCAGCUGGUAACAGUAUUGACCACAUGGGCAGAGGAAAGAGAGGAGAGGGAAAGGAGAAUGGGUAAUUUUCCCUUAGGCUAAGCCUCCACGAGGCUGGGGGUAUUGACCACAGGGGGUUCAUAGCAGGGGACAGAGAAGAAACAGACCUUUUCAAGCAGGAACUUAAUAGCAAUGGGCUGUUUAAAAGGAUACCUUUUGACUGUUCUGGUAAUUUCAUUGAUUUCACCUGCGUGCCAGAAGAAAGAUUCAGCCCAAAGAUUCAACUUUGGGAGGCAAAUGGGUGGCUCAGUGAACUGAGAGCCAGACCUGAGGACAUGCGGUCCUGGGUUAAAAUCUGGCCUCAGAUACUCCCCAGCUGUGGGGCUAUAAUCAGAUCCCUUAACCCCCAUUGCCUAGCCCUUACUACUCUGCCUUCGGACAUUUAUAGACAUAAAUAGACAUUUAAAUGGAUAAUUAAAAACAAACAAACAAAAACCCCAAGGAACUUUGAAGAGACUAAAGGCUAUAUUCUAAGGCAUUUCAGACUCCAAUGGUUUAUACAGAUCUCUGUACUCUAUUGCAUUUUUCCUGAUUGUUUUAAGAUAUAACUUUGUGAUUUUAAGUUCAUAUAUUACUGGAUUGAAUAUUAUUCUGUUAUGCUGUUCAUUUUGAAUGUACUGAGUUUUGAAAUUCUGUUGUUUUUCCCCUAUAACUAUGCUGAACAAAUAUUAUUGAAUAAGCCCAUAUAUGAAAAAACAGCUUUUUUUCUAUUUUGCCGAGGAUAGAUGGACUUCAGAACUGGUUACAAUUGUAUAACAACCUUUGGAAAAUUUUACGUGCUAAAUAUCUCAAAUGAUUUUUAAGGGUUUUUUUAGAUAUGAUUUUUGGAAUUUUUCUUUAACAAUCUCUGGUUAUUUUGCCUGCCCCUACCACGAGGUAAGGCCCAUUCUAGUAGCUGAAGUGAAAUACAUUUUAUAACCCCCAACCUUCCCUCAUUUCUAAAUAUGUGAAUAGAAGUUGGGCAGUUAAUCUCAGGGCAUUUGUAUCCCUAUAAGCCUCCAAAAAAAGGAGCACCCCUUUAUUUAUGCUCUUCAGCUCACUACUUUACUUGCACCAGAAUGAUAUAUGGAUUUCUUGAUUAUGUUCUAAACCCAAGAUGAGUUUUGCUUUGUUUAAAAAAUAUGUUUAUUACCAAGGUUGAAAAAUUGCUAUGUUUGUAAAAAUUGUGACAAAUGUCCAUCAAUUCAUAGGCUUUUAAAUAUCAUACAACUGAUGUGAAAUAUGAUAGUGUGUUUGUUUGCUAUUGUAAUUAAUUGGGCUAUUGAAAAUUUUGGGGAUAUUGAUACUACAUAUUUGUACUACUGUUAAAUUCAUUUGCCUUCUACUCACAGUAGAGCAUGGCCAGGCAUGAAGAGGAAAUGGAUCUCAUUUUUGGUGAGAAAGUCUUGUAAUCUUUAUUUUCUUAGCUGACACAGAGUGUCAAUGAUUAUAAGCUACAUUUUUAUUUUUAAAGCUCUUUUAUUAUUAUAUUUUUCAUGCAUGUGCAAUAUACUAUUUGUGUUUCUUUCUCUCCUUUUUAUAUUUGAAGCACAUGUCACCAACAUUAAGGUUUUCUUUAACUUUUUGACUUUUCAGUACUACAAGUUUAAGAUACAUUUGUCAGAGCAUGCCCUAAAAGGUUAGAGACUAUAAAAAUGAUGCCACUAAUUAUUUAAAUAAAUUAUGGGACUUUGUUUAAUGAUUCUGUAUGAUUCCAGGACAAGAUAUACACACAAGAGCCAUUGCACAAAGCCAAAGAAAAGCCAAUCCAGGAUGGAUUGAUGCACUUCUAGGCCACUACAAAGGUUUUGAACCUAGUGUGAGACUCAAGGUUACUGUGUUUAACAUUGUUAGACAUAGGCUUUCCUUGUGUCCACACUCACUCUGAAGAUACUCACAGAUGAGUAUCCCCAAACUUGGCUCCUAUUAUCUGGUCCACUUUUCUGCCUCUCAUAGUGUGGUACUUUUCUGUAGUCCUGGCUACUGACUAGGUAAAUGCAUCAUUGCUUAGAUCAUUUUGAUUGGGCCCUGAUUCAAGGACCUGUUAUAGAUUUAUUUUUCUUUACUUGGAAUUUUUACACAUAAGACUUUGAUAGUCUAUAUUUUCAUUCAGAAAUUUUUCUUUUCUUUUGGAUUUUUCUGAUGUUUUUGUUCAUUUCUCUUACCAAUUGAUUCAUAUACCUCAUACCUCAGCCAUGCAUCCCUAAGUGAUCCUAUUUUUUUAAUCACCCUCUUAAUGGGGGUAAUGUAAAAAAUAUCAUUAUUUAAAUUGCAAAGUUUAAAUUCCUUUUGAGAAGAAUUUUAGGUUAAGAAACAUGCUACCUCUCUGAAUCCAGAACUGAACUGUUGAAGAAGCCACCAUGAAGAAGCCUCCAGACCACAAGCUGCACAAAAAUGAACUUUGGGUGUGGUUGAUUGAACAUUUAUUUAUUUGUAUGUAUACUUUCAUGCCAAAGGGGACUGCCCCCUAACUGGCUUCUUGUCAAUGCAUUCAACAAUUAUUGGUUUUAUUCUUUUUUUUCUUCUCUUAUCCUCAAAUUAUUGUAAUCUUUAAAUUUAUUAUGUUUUCAUGAUCCUUUGAAAAAAAAUUAAUUUUUUCCAGAAGAUCAAAUGGGGGGAAUAUAAAAUUGAGAUUUGAACUCUGGACUUCAAUCCCCAGAAGUCCUUGCUCCACUUCCCCAGAAUGCUUUGAAUUCUCACAUGGGCCAAGAUCAAGAAGGUAUUUAACCUGAUUGAAAGAGCUUUUGGGUCUCUUUUGGACUUCCAUUUUGGGGCAGAUGUGGCUCUUUCCAUAAUGUAGGUGAGGUCUUGUCUAGGCCUCUCUGUCCUAGGCACGUUUUCCUUAUCCUGUAUUUUCUUUUAAUCCUUAACUUUUAAUAAACCUCUAAAAAUAUAAUACUCCUUGUAGAGAGAAACUAAUUUCUACCUGCCUCAGUCUUCCCUAAAUUUUAACUGUUACAGGAUGUCCAGGGAAGGGACUGAAUGGAGAGCCUGUACGUAGACAGACCUGUGGCAGAAGAGUGAGCCAUUUUUUUUUCCUUUGGAUAAUGGAGAGAAAUAACUGACCAGAUGAAGGCAUCUUGACCUGUUAGUCCAUUGAAAAUGAAGAAAUAAGAAAUAGUGCCUCUGGAGAAUUUUAGCUGUUACCGUGCGAAGAGGAAUAGGAGGAGGAAAGGGAUAGACAUGGGGGCUAGGAUGGAUGGGAUGACAAUAACCAUGGAAUAGCCAGUCUUUGUAUCUCUGUUGAAGGUUCAUAAAGCAUUUUUAAAAAUAUUAACUCAUAUCAUCUUUGCAACAACCCUGAGAACCAGGUCUUUUUAUUAUCCCCAUUUUGCAAAAUCUUUGAAAAAACUGAGGCAGGCAGAAGUGACUUACCACAAGUCAUAUAGUUAGCAAGUGUGCGAGGUAAGAUUUGAACUUUCUAAUGUCCUAAUAGCUUGGUGGAGCAGUGGAUAGAACACCAAGUCUGGAGUCAGGAAGAGCCGAGUCCAAAACCAUCCUCAGACCCUUAACUGGGUGAUCCUGAGCAAGUCACUUAACCUUGUUUGCCUUCGUUCCUCAUCUAUAAAAUGAGGUAGAUAAAGAAAUGGCAAACAAUUCAAGUAUUUCUUCCAAGAAAGUCCCCAUAUGGGGUCAGGGAUAGUCAGAAGGGACUGAAAUAAUUCAACAACCAGUACAACCUCCUGACUCCAGCUCCAAUGUUUUCUCUACUGCACCACCUAGCUGCUUCAUUUUGUAUUCUAUUUUUUUCAUCUUCCAUUUUUGUUUUCUUUUUUCCAUAGUUUUAUAAAAUCCAGACAAUUGUAUUCUCUGUGAUCAUUUGGAUUAUUAAAAAUUGGCAAUGUAAAAAAAUACAUAUAGCAAUCCUCAUCCCAUAUGAUCUCCCCCCAAGCCUCUUCCCAACAAAGAAACUAUGGAAAAGAAUAAGGGAAGGGGAAGUAUGUGUUUGAAACCCAGGAGGACCAUCUCUUCAAACUAACGGAUAAAAUGAGAAGAAAGAGUUGGGACUCCUCUCUAGUUUGGUGUUACCAGUGACUGUCUUCAUGACCAAAGAAAAUCCAGUCAUGCUUUGUCUCUGUCUCAUUUAUCUGGCCAUGACAACACACCUUGGACCUGUCUCCAGCCCAUAGUCCCAACCUGAGUCAUCACAAGGCUCUCUAGUAUCUCUCCUUUUUUAUAUCAAGCUGCAGCAAGAGCAGCAGUGAUCAUAAGCAGCAAAUAACUGCUUUAUCCAAGCGACUCUUUGUCUUUUCUAGGAUACAUAGACUGAAUGGAUUGGUUGACCCCAAAGGAGGGGAUGCGACUCAGUAAUUUCUGAGGCUACUCCAAGUUCUAAACCGAGGGUCUGUGAUCCUAGAAAAUAGAAAAAAUUUUAAACUGUAAAGUAAUUGUCACAUCUUACUUCCCCCAAAUCUUUUCUCUACUUGCCCAUUUUAAGGGGGGAAAUAAAGGAAAACAUUCUGUUUGGAAACCAGUAGGACCAGCUCUGCAAAGAAUUGAGUAAACUAUUAUGUGUUGCAAGUAAAACCCACUGGAAUUGCAUGUUGGCUCUGGGGGUUGGGGGGUGGGGAAAGGAGAGGGAAAGAACAUGAGUCAUGUAACCAUGGAAAAAUAUUCUAAAUUAAUUAAUUAAAUAAAAAUUUUCAAUUUAAAAAAAUAGUAUGUAUUGGGGUUCCGGUAUUACUAGGGGUUUGAGAUUGGUCUCCUGCCCCAAUACCUUCAUGGCCCUUGAUAAUCAAGUGCCUUUUUGUCUUUGUUUUACCACCCUAAUUCCUUAAUUAGCAUAUGUAGGUGGCAUAUGGGGUAGACCACUGAAGUGGAAGUCAGAACGACCUGAGUUCAAAUCCAAAUUGGAAACGUAGCAGUUUGGAAGUCUUGGAAGACUAGCAGUGUGACACUGGGUGAAGCACUUGACCAUAAUCUACUUCAAUUUCCUAGGGUUGUUGUGAGGAUCAAAUGAGAAAAUAUUUAUAAACUGCUUUGCAAAUCUUAAAACACUAUAUAAAUCAUACUGCUAACUGUUGAUCCCUCCUCCAUCGGGGAGUCUCACUGAAUCACAGAAUUAGAUAGCUUGAAGGGACCUCAGCUGCCAUCUAGUCCAGUGCAUACACCAAAGGAAUCCCUAUGAUGCCACAGCCAAUAAAUGGUAGGGUGAGUGCUUGAAGGUUCAGUGAGGGGGAGCCCACCACCUCUCGAGGAUGGCUUUCCUAGUUUUGCUGUCCUCAUCAUCCCUGACAAGUUUUUGGAAUCUUUCACAGCUCAAUUUGCACUCUGUCUUCUGCUAUUGUUUUUUCUGUUUCUUCUCCUUCUGUUUGUGUUUCCCCUACUUCUGCUUUUUUCCUUUGCUUCUUCACUUCCUUGGGCUUGGCCUAUAGCUGCGGUUUUCCUGGGAAUUAUGUACCUAAGUAAAAGUUAACCCAUGAUAGUCUUUUUGGGGUUGGGUUUAAGGGUCUGAUCUUUUGGUGUUGUUUUGGGGAAUAAGGGUACAUGUGUUUUGCUCUUGCAUUAUUUAUUUUGAGACUACAGGUAAUGAUAAUCAUGUCAAUUCAUAGGUAAGGGGCAUUGAUGAAAGAAGUCAUGUAAAAGGGGGUUGGGUGGGCAAUCACAUCUUGCCAAGGACCACUCUGUGGUCUCCCCAGCUACCCCACGUGUGACUCUGUCAAGGCAUCAUGGUCUGAUGGCCCUCAACAAUGAACGUUUUUGAGUUGUCCUCAUUUUUCCUAAGUGGAUCCUGGGUAUAAGCAAUACCAACCCAUUUUACCUGCCCAUCCUACAUUCUUUUCUUUUUUUUUAACCCUUCUGUCUUAGUUUCAACUCUCAGAAAGGAACAUAUAGGACUUGGCAGUCUUGGUGAAGUGACUUGCCCACAGUCAUACAGCUAAGAUGUAUCUGAGGUCACAUUUGAACCCAGGUCCUCCCAACUCCAGGCCUGGUGUUCUAUCUGCUGUACCACUUGCCUGUCCCCACAGUCAUAUUCUUAGAAACCAGAUUACUGGUGGUUCUCAAAGCUAUCAGGAGCACAGGAGCCAUACUUUCCUCAGUAAGACCUCUUUCCUGACAGAGGCAGAACACUCAGAAGCUAGAGCCAGAUUGCCAAGGAUGCAGGAAAGAGAGAGAGAGAGAGAGAGAGAGAGAGAGAGAGAGAGAGAGAGAGAGAGAGAGAGAGAGAGAGAGAGAGAGAGAGAGAGAGAGAGAGAGAGAGAUUGAGAGACAGACAGACAGACAGACAGAGACAGAGACAGAGACAGAGACAGAGAGAGAAUUAGAAUUAGGAGCAAGGUUGGUAAGACAUUUAAGCUUAAUGUGAAGGAAACGUUCUCAGAAGGGCUGUUCCCCAAAGCAGAAAGGAUUACUCCAGUGAGCAGAGCUUAUAGGAAGAAUUGACACAGCGGCUGUAUAACGCCUUGUGAGUGAGCUUCAAAUGGCAUUGGUUCUGGAGGUUUGGAUUGCAGCAAAGAUCCAUAGUGACUCCAACUGACUUUCCAGAGCUCCCACUUCCCACAGGGGAGAAUUUCUGUGGCCAGAGAAGUGGACUGAGGUGCAAGAGCCUGGGAGGCAGACUUUCCUGAAGCUGGAACUCUUGAAAGCAACACAGAGGAGAGAUGGAGAAAGAUAAUAGCCCUGUCAUUGAAGAGCCUAAGACUGACUGGAGACUGUCUAAGGGCCUGCAGGACCUCCUCACCUGCCCUGUCUGUGGAAGCUUUUAUAAUGAUCCUAUAACGGAUGAUUCUGGCAAAACCUUCUGCCGGGGCUGCCUCCCUCAGGGAUCCCAGCUUUCCUACCUCCAUACCAACUGGAAAAUGCAGAGCAUGGUACAAGUGGCCAAGCAGCUGAAGCCCUUCCUUGAGCAGCCCCAGGGCCUCCUAGAGGACUGGUGCACCAAACACCAGGAAUGCUUGAGCUUUCUCUGUCGAGAAGACAAGGAGAAAAUCUGCCAGGUCUGUAGCUACUCCAGGCUUUACCAGGGCCAUAGCCUGACUCGACUGCAAGACCCAAACUGGAGUUAAGUCAGCUGCUGAGGGAGGCUCCAGGGAGGUAAGAGGCCUGGUUGUGACUUGCAGGAGAAAGAAGUCAGGAGGAAGCUUAGAAGGACUCCCAGGGAAGCAUUCUGGGAAAUCUUCCCAUCCCAGCAUUUUGUACAGUCUAUCCUCCAUGUCUACAAGACUCUCCUUCUACAUCCAGCUACUUGGAAUCCUGGCAGUCACUUAACAAUGAAAUCCCUCCUUGAUGCUUCAUUCUUAUCUCUCAAAUUCCAUCCUUUCCAAUGCUCUGUGCCCAUGUCAGAUCUCCCCAAGUUCUCAGGGGUGAAGGCUCUGAACGAAUCUUUGGGAUCUUAGACCACGGAGUCAUGCUUUACACUGAGGAAGCCAUUGGUCAGUGCUCUUGGAAUUCAGUUCUUUUCCUUUCCAGGAUAAUUCUGAAGAAGGCAAAAAGAAGAAGAAGAAAAGGAAGAAGGACUAGACCACGGAAUUGUCUUCCACUGGGGUAGGAUACAGGGCCCCAUAUGACACUGUUUGCACCUUUACCCAAACCCUUAUGGACUCCUGCCUGGAAUCCCAGCCAGUCAGUCAGUCAGUCAUGGACCCUUUCUCAAGGACGAGAGGAUCCAGGACGGAAGAAAUUUCAGAUUGAAGCAUCUUCCCAGACUAGAUUGUCAAACUGAUUCAGCCCUGGCAGCUAGUGGCCUCUUGGGACAGUACUUGAAGUUUUUUAUCUGAAGAUCAUCUAAUAAAGUGGCUCUUACCCACUGAACAGUGUCAGUUUGGCCUGUAAUUUGUCAGGAAGUGAGAUUUAGGGAAGGGAAUGGCAGCCAAAGAGGGGAUGUUCCAGAUUCCAUCCAAACCUACUGUUUUCUUUCAUCCACAAUCCUGUGGACUUUGUCCCAUUCUAUUUUCCAUUUAGGAUGCUGCCUGAUCUUUGUUCUUUUGUUCUUCCCUGGAUCACAUGAAGGUGAGGAAGGCCUGCCUGGUGGUCUUUCCAUUUCUUGGUAUUUUUCCCUGUAUAUUUACAGCCACCUUCAAUGGGAGACUUUGAGUGGUCUCAGAACCUUUGGGUCUAGUCUUAGAAGAAUGAUUUCCAUUCCUCUCUCAGGACCAGCCUAAACUUUGAACAACCCAGGACUUUCUCUGGGGGCUUCUAAGGAUCUGCCUUUAGCCCACAGGCAUUCCCACAUUUGGUAGAGUCAGAGCUUCACUGUGUAGGAAUUCUGUUAUGGUCACUAACACAUACUUUAACUUAGGCUUUCCUUUGGAAGGCUUCCAGGGGCCUCCCUCCAGGACCAGGUUCAGUAAGGCAAGCCCCUGAUGGGUCCUAAAAUUGGGUUUAUUGUUUCUUUUUACCAAAGGGUUUCCCAUACUUCUAUCCAUAAAGCUUUGCUCUGACCAGCAUAUCAUUGAAUGAGGUCUGAGUGGUACCAAAGGUUUCCUUCUCUUCUCCCUUUGGUUUGACUGUCAUGAAUUCAGGAAAGGCCUUUAGAGGGGCCAAGUGGAGGGAAUUGUAAGUGACUGGACUGGAAUAGAUAUGCUGGAAAGAACCUACCCUCCUUCCCAGGGUUCCCCAGUGAUUCAUAAGAGAAGCAAUUGUAUGAGGAAUGAGAGAAGCCAGAAACAGAGGAAAUGAACUCCACCUCCCCUGGUUCAAAGGAUUGUACCCUAGAGAGCAGUCUACGAAUGGCAGCAUUUUGAAUUAGUCACUGGAAUAGAAAGUGAUUCUCCUUUGUCCCCUUCCCCCCAUACUAGGCAGUAGUGGUGUUCCUCAAGGCAUUUAUUUCUACUGUCAUGAAAGCCUGGGGACAGCCAGGUUGCCCAGUAGAUAGAACACAAGACAUGGAGUUGCAAAGACCCAAGUUCAAAUUUAGCCUCAGACACUUACUAGCUAUGGGACCCUGGGCAAGUUCUUUAACCCAGUUUGUCUCACUUUCCCCCUCUAUAAAAUGGGAAUAAUAACAGCACCUACCCCCUCUGGUGGUUGGAAGUACAGUCUGAGAUGAUGUUUAGCACAGUGCCCAGCAGAGAUGGUGCUAUAUCAAUGCUCGGUAUUCCAGUACUGAAUGACGAUUAUGGGACAUGAGUCAAGUCAUAACCCUAAAGCUCAUGUAUAUUUAGAGUCAUGACUUAGUAAGCCAUUCACUCGUAAACUAGAAAGUGCCCCAAGCCUUUGGGACUUGUGUUUAUAUGAUUUUUUUGCUUCUAAAGGAGGUAAGAAAAAUGCAAGCAACAUCCUGAAGAUGCCAAACCAUUUGGACUAGAUGUACUCAGCCAGGAACCCCGCAUGUGCAACAAUCACUAAAGCCUUAGGUAUUAUUCGAAUAACUUCCUUGGAAUUCAUUGUGAAGUUUACCCUUUCACCUUUCCUGAGGUCCCAAUGGCAGCCAAAGAUCAGUAAGCUAAAUGGAGCAAUAAGGAAAGUAACCUAGAUAUUUCUCUUAUUUUCUCCAUCCUUUCCCCCUAUGACUUUUGAUUAAUAAAAUGAUCCAUUUCCAACCAGUCUCAUAGUUUUCCUUCUUACACAAUGGAAUUCUAUGGUUUCUGUUACAGUUUGUUGGUGUAAUCAAUUGUAUUUAUAGUUUUCCUUCUAUGAAGCCAUCCCUGCAUCUCAUGUGUAAAUCCUCUUUGGUCAGAACGGAUAAUCUUUGUGGCAAAGAGAGAAGCAAAACCAUUGUCCAAGCUCUAUGUAAGAUAUCAUUUUAUGAGAGGUGGAGUCAAGAUGGCAGCAUAGAGGCAGCAAAAGUUCAGACGUCUGAAAACCCUUACUUACCAAUCACAAACUGAAUGCUCCUAGGGGAAUUAAAAUAAAACCUAACAACAGGACUGAGCCAAGGAACCCUCCUGCUGGACUCAAUCCAAAAGGUAUACCCCCCAAAAGCCAGAAUCCAAGAAUACUUGGGUUUAAGGGGAAGGCAGAAGGAAGGUCCCAGGACCCCUCCCCCCUUAGAGCGCUAAGCCUCCAGCAGCAGCAGGAACCUCUGGGCAGGCAAAGGAGCUGGUCUGGUGGGAGUACCUUGCAGGCAGCGCUGUGCCAGGCUCAGAGUGUAGAACACAGGUCGGGGGGAGAAGGAGCUGGAGAGGGAGCAAAGAGGAGGCAGCCUGGUCAGAGUGGCUGUGACCCUCCAUAUUGCUCCAGCUUUCCAGGAGAUUUUGACCUCAGGGCACAUCCAUCCCAACCCAGCUGAACUUAAUCUCAUCAAAAGUCUUCAGAGGUCAGGGAAGCCCAAACUCUAACACCCCUCCCUCACAGAUUGCUGAACUUUAAAUUAAUCCAAUCAAAAGCAUCCAGAGGACAGGGAAGCUCAAACUUGAACACCCCUCCCCGACAGGCUACAGAGAGAGAUCUGUCAAAGCUCCAAGAGGGGAGACUGACAGAAAAAACCCCCAAAACCAAAAAAAUGAGAGGAGCAAGAGCACAAACAAAUACGGGGAGCAAAGAAGGGGUAAAUAUGAGCAAACAAUAGAAAAAGAAGAAAGAAAUUACAAUAGCAUCUGUACAGGUAACGAGCAAAGAGCUAAUGGAAGGGAGGGGAAGGGAUCAUCAAGCAUUAAAACAGAAAUCCCAGCUAAUUGGAUACAGGCUUCGGAAGAACUCAAAAUGCAAUUCAAAACACAAUUAAGAGAGGCUGAAGACAAUUGGGAAAAAAACUUAAAAACUAAGAUAAGUCAUCUGGAAACAGAAAAUAGUGUCUUGAAAGCCAAAGUCAACCAGCUUGAAAAUGAGGCAAAGGAGAUGAAAGAUGAGGCAAAGGAGAUGAGAGAUGAGGCAAAGAGGAUGAAAGAUGACCUCCAAAGAAAAUCAGACCAGAAGGAGAAGGAUGACCAAAAAGCCAGGGAUGAAAUCCAGUCUUUAAGAACCAGAAUACAACAACUAGAAUUACGUGACCUCACAAGGCAGAAGGACACUAUAAAACAAAACCAAAAGAAUGAAAAAAUUUAGAAAAAUAUGAAACAUCUCAUUCAAAAAACAGAAGAUUUAGAAAAUCGUUUGAGGAGAGACAAUUUUAGAAUCAUUGGUCUACCAGAAGACCAUGACAAAAGAUAAAGCCAUGACAUAAUACUACAGGAAAUUAUUCAAGAAAAGUGCCCCAAUAUUCUAGAACAAGAGGGAAAAGUGGAGAUUGAAAGAAUCCACAGAUCACCUCCUGUAUUUAACCCCCAACUGACAACAACAAGGAAUGUUAUAGCCAAAUUCAAGAACUAUUAGACCAAAGAAAAACGUUUACAAGCUGCCAAGAAAAAGUCAUUCAGAUACCAUGGAACCACAGUGAGGAUAACUCAGGAUCUGGCUGCAUCUACACUGAAGGACCGAAAGGCAUGGAAUAUGAUAUUCUGGAAAGCAAGGGAACUAGGACUACAACCAAGAAUCAACUACCCAGCAAAAUUGACUAUAUUCUUACAGGGGAAAGUAUGGUCAUUCAACAUAAUAGAAGAAUUCCAAGAAUUUGUAAAGAAAAGACCAGACCUGAACAGAAAAUUUGAUGUCCAAGUACAGAACUCAAGAUAAUCAUCAAAAGGUAAUUAAAAAAGAGGGAAAAAGAAAAACAAAAUGAACCAAAAAAAUCCUUUUUUAAGAGACUCAAUAAGUUAAAAUGAUAUAUAUCCGUAUAAUAAAAGAGGUCAUUAGUACCUCUUAAAAACUGUUAUCACCUGGGCAGCUAGAAGAAUUACACUUAGAGGAAACAGUGACAUACUGUAUAGAAUGAAAUAACAAUAUAUAAAUAGGUAUAUAGAUAUAUGUAUGCAUAACUACAUAUACAUGGGUCUGACGUGGAGGCUACGGCCGAGUUUCCCAAAAUGGCAAGUGUUGAGAAAUUUCCUUUUCAUGUGCCAUGUUUAGAAGAGCUUGCUGGAGGUAAGUCCAAACAUUUGUGGCAGCUUUGGGGUUUUUAAUUAAUCUAGGAAAAUAUAACUAUAAAAGCUGUUAUUUACAUGAUUUUUUUGUCUUUUCAAUCAUGAGUUCUUAAAAGUACUGAAGUCAUCAUAUAAAUAUGUUUUUCUUCAUUUUCAAUUAAAAAUGACUAUUUUUCACUUCAAAAAAAUAAACCUAGCUUGGGAUAUAGUACCAACCAAAAAAAAGAAAUAUUAAUAUAACAAAAUCCCACCUUUAUAGAACAUAAUUUUAAACCAAGAUACAACUUUUAUUGAGAGAAAGUAACUACGUUAAUCACAGUUUCAAGUCUAUCUGAUCCUAAUUCAUAUGAUUUUAUCCUUCCCAGAUGAAGUUCUUAUCUCCUUUCUUAUAAACUUGCCAAAUUACAUUAAAUAUAAUAGUAUAUAUGAUCCCAAUUUCUUAUUUGAAUCUAGCCUUGUAAGAUCACUGAGGAUUGGAAACUGUGUCUUAUUAUUUUUAUACUUUCUUUAGUUUUCAUUGGUGUUUUCUUUGAUGUAUGGGGUUCUCAGGGAGGGGAAGUAUCUCUGGUAUGGAGGGCUUAUCAUGCCCUCCUAGGGAAGGUCUCCAGCCUCUGACCCCCACCUGACACCCAGCUCUCACUUGUGGCUCCUAGUAGCUGCUAGCAUGCGGCAGUAGCCACACCCCAGGCAAAGGCUUCAACAGGCUGGCUAAACCUUGUGAGGGUAACCAUCGGGUCAUAGACCCCUGGUGAAUCAGGGCCUUGCUCACCCAGCAUGUGAAGACUGCUUCGGCCAAACAGAUGGAAGAAACCAAUAUGAGGGUUCAACAGCUGAGAGGGUGAUGCAGCAAAGCACUGUGGAGUGCUUAGGGUGUGUUGGAGCACAAAAGACAACACGGCCACCCAAUGCAGCUGAGGAAGUCUCCAGGUGUAAUGACAUUUUGUGCCACUGGACCCAGGCUUCCAAUGCCGAGAGAGUGGAACUUUCUCUGUGUAUUGACUUUUCCACUUAAAUCUCCUUCACGCACAAGUGUCUUUGUGCACACUCAUCUAUCAUAGAUGAAAAUGCACAAAGGCAAUCGUCAUCCUCGGUUACCGAGAGAAUACCACUACUAUACAUGGGCCUGAUUACAAGAGAAAAAAAUAUUAUUCCUUUCCAUUUCUGUUAGCAAGACCUGGAACAAAUCUUCCACAUCAACCCAUGUGGGGUUAUGUGUAUGAAAAAUGUUCUCAAUCUUAUUCUUUAACAAUAUAGACUCAGUUUCAAAUGAGGGAAAUAUUUCUUUUAAUCUCUCAAUGUCCUGUGGAGAAAAAGGUGUAUGAUGUCUAAUGUUUACUAAAUCUCCAUGUCUGUUAUAUGUAGGGACAACUCUCAGAGGAAAAAGACCUUUAUUUGAAUCAUCUGUGGUAACUGCUGCUUGGCCUGUGUUCUGGAGUUCAAUGGAAUGGAUUGCAUUGA